UACGGGGGAUGCGAGCGUUAUCCGGAUUUAUUGGGUUUAAAGGGCGCGUAGGCGGGACGCCAAGUCAGCGGUAAAAGACUGCAGCUAAACUGUAGCACGCCGUUGAAACUGGCGCCCUCGAGACGAGACGAGGGAGGCGGAACAAGUGAAGUAGCGGUGAAAUGCUUAGAUAUCACUUGGAACCCCGAUAGCGAAGGCAGCUUCCCAGGCUCGGUCUGACGCUGAUGCGCGAGAGCGUGGGUAGCGAACAGG
rnacentral:rRNA from 2 species